CAGGGCCUGCUGUCUGUUUUCAGUGGAGGGAGAUAUCCGAAGAAAAAUGGCGACUGCAGGCGACCUAAAGCGGGACGCAGGCCAUUCUAUUUGAUCAUUCUACCAAAAAUUGAGCCCGGGGCUUGGUGGGGCUAAUUGUGACUAUCGCAACGUUGGUUAGGGUUUCCGAGGUUGCCCGGUUUCUCGGGUUUGUGUGGACUAGUCGCGCGCUAAAAUUGAAAUUAAAAAUAAUACAUCUGCUACAAUGCGAGGGAGAAGAGGAAGGCCGCCCAAACAGGCAGCGGAGAUGCAGGAGGUUUCCCCUGUGCCAGUUCGCGGUUCAAGAGGGAGAGGGAGAGGUAACCGUGGUAGGGGAAGGGGCCGAGGACGUGGCCGCGGACGGGGUUCGGUGGUGGAUACCGGCGAUACAGAAAUUCAUCGGAGAGAAAACUACCAUUCGUCCAGGGGCCGGAGGAAAGUUGGAGCUGCGACGACAUCGCGGGGCAGAGGAAGAGGCAGGGGUUCGAGAGGUGGUCGCGGCAGCAGGGGGAGACGGCCACUGUGCAAGGUGGUCUACGAUGACAACAGCGACGAGGAAGAGGAUAAUAUUAGUUUGAGGUCGGAGGAAGACGAACUUUUACACGAGAAUCCUUCCUCAGACUACGAAGAGGAGGCCGUGGACAAUGAGUCCGAUUUUCUGGAAGAAUUACCAGAUGAGGAUGAUGCUAGCUACUGUACAGAUAGCAGCUUUCGGAGCCAUGAUAGCACGCACGGCAGCACUCCAGGCCGGAGGGGCAGACACCCGCACCGGCCCCGCUCGCCCAUCUUCGAGGCCAAGGAGGUGCCCUCCCUAGAGCUGCCCAAGUCCUCAGAGGACUUGCUGGUGCCGGCCAAUCAGCUCCUCAACAUCUCGGCCGUCUAUGAGGUGCUGCGCAACUUCGGCUCAGUCCUGCGCCUCUCGCCGUUCCGCUUCGAGGACUUUUGUGCGUCGCUGGCAGGCCAGGAGCAGUGCACCCUGCUGGCUGAGACCCACACCGCCCUGCUCAAGGCCAUCCUGCGCGAGGAGGACACGUCCAACACCACGUUCGGUCCUGCCGACCUCAAGGACAGCGUCAACUCCACACUCUACUUCAUCGACGGCAUGACCUGGCCCGAGAUGGUGCGCGCCUACUGCGAGAGUGACCCAGAGUACCGGCAGGUGCUCCCUUUACUGGAGGGCGAGGAGUACCCCUACGAGCCCCUCGAGAGCAAAAUUAAGGUCCUUCAAUUCCUUGUGGAUCAGUUCCUGGCCACCAACUUGGCUAGAGAAGAGUUAAUGUCGGAGGGGGUGGUGGCGUACGACGACCACUGCAGGGUGUGCCACCGGCUGGGGGACCUCCUCUGCUGUGAGACGUGCUCGGCCGUCUACCACCUGGAGUGCGUGAAGCCGCCGCUGGUGGAGGUACCCGAGGAUGAGUGGCAGUGCGAGGUGUGCGUGGCACACAAGGUGCCUGGCGUGGUGGACUGUGUGACGGAGGCGCAGAAGAGCAGGCCAUACAUCCGCCAGCUGCCAAUCGGCUAUGACCGCCACCGCCGCAAGUACUGGUUCCUGGACCGCCGCGUCGUGGUUGAAGAGGACGGCGAGCAGGAGGACAAGACCAUCUGGUACUACAGCACCAAGGUGCAGCUGGCUGAGCUGAUUGACUGCCUGGACAAGGGCUACUGGGAGGCCGACCUGUACGCCACGCUGGAGGAGAUCAGGGACGAGGUGCACACGCACAUGGACAUCACCGAGGAGCUCACCAACAAGGCCCGCGGCGUCAACAAGUGCUUCCUCACCGCUGCCAACGAGGAGAUCCUGGACCGGCUGAGGGCCAAGCAGGAGGAGGAGCUGGAGGAGGUGAAGCGCCGGGCGGCCGAGGAGAGGGAGAAGGCGGAGGCGCAGAAAACUCUCCGGAAGGAGGAGGAGACGGAGGGGGGAGAGCCCAAGGAGAAAACUGAUGAACUCGAGAAGAAGGGAGAUGAGGAGGGAGCAGGGGAGGGUAAGGCUGAGAAGGACAAUGACCAUGCGACCAAGGAGGGGACCACCAUUACAGCUGAGCUGGCUCCCUCUACUGGUGAGGGCUCCAUCCCUGAGGGAAGUAAACCUGAUCUUCUGGCUCCACAACCCACCCUCCCCGCAACAGAGGCCCCCAGCCCUGCCGUGGGGGGGCAAGACCUCCCUACCGGGGCCCGAGAGCCUGGGGACGAGGCCCUAACCAACAUGAAGGGAAUGCAGGAGGCUGAAGAGAAGGCAGGUUCUGUGUCUAGCUCUCCCAGGGGAGAGGGGGUCCCUAGCCUGAGCCAGCCCUCUCAACCCGGUGGUGAGGAGAACAGCAACAGCAGCACCAUUGCCAGGGAGGCCCCCAGGGUCCCGGAGGAGCCCGACCUAGCCGACAGGUCCUCUCAGUCUUCUAUCAACAGCCAGGACGACCAGGGGGUGAACGGCGAGGCCGGUGGAAAGCGGUCGGCAGUCACGCCGGGCGGCCGCAUGGUGACCCGCCUGCGUAACCCGGAGAGUAAGCUGAGCCAGCUGAAGAGCAAGAAGGUGGAGGAAGCCGUUCACGAGGCCAACAAGGGCUACAAGGAGGGCAAAGAGGUGCUGGUGGUGACCCCGGCGGGCGAUGUGUCGCGCCUCAGCACGCGCAGCCUAACAGGCAAGGAGGUGGUGAUGAAGGGCACACUCAGCCACUUCUUCAAGCUGGGCCAGGAGGGCAACUUCCGCGUCUACCACAACCAAUACAGUGGAAAUACGCUGGCCCUCAACAAGCCCCAGCACCGGGAGGACCUGGACAAGCGGCGACACCUCUCGCACAAGUUUUGCAUGACGCCGGCAGGCGACUUCAAGUGGAACGGCUCCAUCCACGGCUCUAAAGUGCUGACCGUCUCCACGCUGCGCCUCACCAUCAUCCAGCUAGAGACCAACGUGCCCGCGCCCUUCAUGCACCCCAACUGGGCCUCACACAGGAACAACUGGAUUAAGGCGGUGCAGAUGUGCAGUAAGGCCAGGGAGUUUGCCCUGGCGAUGGCCAUCUUGGAGUGUGCCAUCAAACCUGUGGCCCUGCUCCCUGUCUGGAAGGACUCUCUGGGACACACCAGGCUACACCGUAUGACGUCCAUGGAACGGGAGGAGAAGGAGAAAGUGAAGAAGAGGGAGAAGAAGCUGGAGGACGAGGAGACCAUGCAGCAGGCCACCUGGGUCAAGUACACCUUCCCCAUCAAGCACCAGGUGUGGAAGCAGAAGGGAGAGGAGUAUCGUGUGACGGGCUGGGGCGGCUGGAGCUGGAUCAGCAAGACACAUGUGCACUGCUUCCUGACCAAGCUGCCCGGCAACACCAACGCCAACUACCGCGCCGAGCUGGAAGCUGCCAGACGUGGUGAGAAAUGCAACUUGCUGGACUUGGGUCCGAGGCCAAGGUUGUUCAAAACAACUGUAGCUUCAGAACCCCAGGGAAGCAGAAGACCCGUAGAGAAAGAUGGGGGUGCUACCACCACGACCACCCCAGAGCCCUCAGCAGACCGCCUGUCGGGAGAGAAGACGAAGGAAAAGCUAGAGGAGGGAAAGAAAGAUGAGAGUGACGGGCGAGCGAAAGUGAAGAUGCAAGACUCCGCUGCAGAGGAGGCUGCAGACAAGAUGGAGGUGGACCCUAGCCUCUCAGACUCAGGACAAGACGAUGAAAAAGGAACCAGCCCAGGGACCGAGACAGAGAUGACGUGCGUGAAGCAGGAGCCCGGUGAGGGGAACGCAAGGCCCUUUAACUACGACGUGGUGGACGUAGCCCAGGGCUUCCUGACGCGUGUGGCCUACAAGAAGAAGGUCAAGGCCUCCAAGCUGGAUGGUCUGCUGGAGCGCCGCGUCAAGCAGCACGCCCUGGAGGAGAAGCAGAGAGCUCAGGGCGCCCUGGCCAAGCCUACCCCAGUAAAGACCACCCCGGUCCUGCCACAGACCCCACUCCAGACCCAGAGUCCCACAGUGAAAUUGGAGUUCAGCACCCCUUCGGUGCCACCUGCACUUGCUCCAUUGUCAGUCAAAGGGGAGGUGCAGGCGGACCCUUCAAAGACCGCUGAGGGGGUCCCUCAGCCAGCCCCAGCGACCCCAGCUGAAGCAUCCCCACGAACACAAAACCAAAUGACCCCCCAAAAACAGGAGGGAGACCUCCCUGAGAGGACUAUAGGACCCACAGGGGCUGGUUCAGGGCAGGGGGGGCUUAAAAGGCCCAGCAGCACAGCGGAACCUAUGGAAACUUCAGGUGGGAUGUACUACACUGGCAGACCAUCAGAGUCUACCAGUGCCAAGCCCGCUUCCACCGAGGGUGCAGGACCUGAAGUGGCCGUUUUUAAAUCCCACUCCACAACGAUACCUCCAAGCACUAUAACCCAGGAGAGCAGCCAUAGUGCAGCUACCGUUCCUAAACCCCCCCAGCAAAGCACAGAGAAGAACGGGAAGGGGCCUGAGGAGAGGCAGGAUAACGGACAGUGCAGUAUCGAGGCCAUCGCCACUGGGUCCCAGCCCUCCUCUCUACCUCAGAUCAAUGGAAAUGACAGUGUGGAGGCUAAAGCCUUGACCAACUCUUUACCAACUCCAAACGAGGCCUCCACUACUCUCACUAACAGCUCUGAGGUCAAAGUGAACAGCCUAGGCAAGGCAGAGGGAGAGGGUCAAGUAGUCUCGCCCCAAAAGCCCCUGCUCAACGGCAAUGUGGCCCCUGUAGCCGAGCGGACCGGGACGGACAGCACAGAACCAAGACCGGCUCCAAGGGUAGAGUUGGAGAGCAAGGUCAUAGUGUCGGAGCAGGAAUACCAGCCCCCGGUGAAGGUGGCCAGGUUGGAAAACAACGUGGAGGCGCUCGGGUCUACGACCACCCAAAGCACCCAGCAGCUCAUCAACACCCAGCCCAUGGAAGUUAAGCCUGAUGCUACCACGCCCAACAAAAUGCCCCCCUUGUCGGUGUGCUCUGCAGAGGAGAGCAGCAACAGUGGGGUGGGAUCCCUCUGUAACACCAUACUCACCCAGGUAACCACCAAAACAACCACCACCACCACGGUAUCCUCAGAGUCUCGGCUAAAGGUGGGCGUCUCAAGCUCUUCGGGGACGACGGCCGCGCCCAUUGUCUCAACCACUGAGAGCAGCGCGGUGUCCACGCUCACCACCAUGACCAAAACCACUGUGACCAAAAUGCGCUCACCCACGCCCGACAGCCAAUCGGACGAGAGCCAGAGCGAAACGGUGACCGAGUACAAGACCGCACUCCUCGCCACCCGCAAGGAGUCCUCUCUUUCAACCUCCUCUGUUUCGGGGGGAAUUACCUCGUCGACCUCCACCAAGGGCCGCGUUCGCCUCCUCAAGUUCUCGCGCACCAAGAAGACACGCUCAGGAACCGCCUUGCCAUCCUAUCGCAAGUUUGUUACUAAGAGCCAGCGUAAGAGCAUCUUUGUCCUGCCCAACAACGACCUGAAGAAGCUGGCACGGCGGGGUGGCAUCCGUGAGGUGUCCAUAUUCAGCUACAACGCCAAGCCGGCCCAGGACAUCUGGCCCUACCCCUCGCCCAGGCCCACCUAUGGCAUCACAUGGAGGUACCGUCUCCAGACAGUGAAGUCCCUGGCAGGGGUCAGUCUGAUGCUGAGGCUACUGUGGGCCUGUCUGAGGUGGGACGACAUGGCCGUCAAGCCCUCCGCCGCUGUAGGCACCACACGCACAGCCCUAUCCCCACUCAUUGCCACAGAGACCUCCGAGACGGAGAUCACUACCACAGAGAUUAUCAAGCGCCGCGACGUGGGGCCCUACGGCAUCCGCUCGGAAUACUGCAUCCGCAAGAUCAUCUGCCCCCUCGGGGCUCCCGAGACCCCGAAAGAGACCCACACGCCACAGAGGAAAGGCCUGCGCUCCAGCAACCUGCGGCCCAAGAAGCCAGAGCCCAAAAAGGAAACUGGGCCGGUGGUGAUUGAGUCCUGGGUUGCUGAGGAGGAAUUGGACCUCUGGGAGAUCAGGGCCUUCUCCGAGAGGGUUGAGAAAGAGAAAGCCCAGGCAGUAGAACAGGCCAAGAAGCGUCUGGACCAGAAACCUGGUACUGGCUCUACCAUCGUCACCACCCCGGGGAGCCCAGCCACCCCCGCUUCCACCCCCAAGGUAGUGACCCUAUCGGGCCAGGCCACCCCCGGAACCAAAGUGGUACUGGCCACCAAGAUGGGCACCCCCGUCACCUUCCAACAGAACAAGAACUUCCAGCAGUCAUUUGCUUCCUGGGUCAAGCAGGGGCAGCCCAGUGGAGCCUCGCCGGGCACGGUAGCCACGUCAGCCGGACAGACUUUCCAGAUCACGGGCACGUCCAUGGGGGGCAAGGUGCUCACCGCCAAGCUGCCGCUGCCCGCCAACAGCAAGAUUGUCACUGUCAACGUGCCAACCACUCAAGGAGGUAUGAUUCAGAAGCAGGUGCUGGGCAUCAUUCCCACAAGCCAAGCUGGCGGCGCCCAGACCUUCGCCUCGUUCCAGCCUCGCACCACAACCAUCAACAUCAGGCCAGGCAUGCCUGGCUCACCACAGCAGGUGCUCACCGCUGGAGGCCAGAUCCGUCCGGGGAUGACCGUGAUCCGCACGCCCAUCCAUCAGACAGGCACCAUGGGUAAGACCCUCCUCCAGACACCCCUCAUGGUGCAGCAAGGUCAGGCUGGCCAGCAGGUGGUGACCCAGAUCAUCCGUGGGCAGGCCGUAUCCACGGCCAUCUCAGGUGCCAGCCCCGUCGCCACCGUGGCCGGGCAGAGGGUGGGCAGUGCCCCCAAAACCCCGGGCCAGCCCAACACGGCCCAGACACCCCAGCAGCGGGCACAGCAGGGCCAGGUCAAACUCACCCUGGCACAACUCACCCAGCUCACCCAGAAGCAGCAGAGCCAGGCAGUAGAGCGGCCAGGCGGCGGGGCCCAGGGCCUGACUGUGAUGAUCCAGGGCCAGGGCCAGGCCACGGGCCAGCUGCAGGUCAUCCCCCAGGGGGUCACGGUCAUCCCCGGGCCCGGUCAGCAGCUCAUGCAGGCGGCCAUGCCCAACGGCCAGGUCCAACGCUUCCUCUUCACCCCCAUGGCCCCUGCCGCUACCCCAACCUCCACAGCCCCCACCGCCCCGGGUCAGACCACCAAGGCCCCUGCCCAGCCCGCCCAGCAGGCUGCAGCUCCCAUCCAGGCCGGGGCCGCCCUGGCCACCAGCACCCCCCCAUCCGCCACUCCCCAGAGCCAACUCCCCUCCCAGACCCAGGCCCACAUGCCCAUCCAAUCCCCAACCCCCCUCCAGGUCAAGUCCCCCAACCCCCCCGGCACCCCCAUGGGCCGGCCCCAGCAGACCCUCCAGCUCCAGGGCUCCCCCCACCAGCUCAUCACCGUCCCGGGCCUCCAGCAACAGGUCCAGGUCCUGGCUCAGCUCCAGGCCCAACAGGGGACCUCUGGAGGCUCUCUCCCCAGCAGAUCAAGCUCCAGCUUCCCAUCCAGAUCCAGCAGCAACCCGGGGUCGGUGGAGCCCAGCCUGGAGGUCCAAUCCAGAACGUGGUGACCAUCCAGACGGCCAGCGUGCAGGAGCAGCUCCAGAGGAUCCAGCAGCUGAGGGAACAGCAGCAGCAGAAGAAGAGGCUGGCGGCCGAGGCCAAGCGGGAGCAGGCGCUGGCGGCAGCCAGUCAGAGCCACAUCAUCCAGAAACAGGUGGUGAUGAAGCAGAACGCAGUGAUCGAGCACCUCAAGCAGAAGAAGCCCAUGUCCCCCGCCGAGAGAGAGGAGAACCAGAGGAUGAUUGUGUGCAACCAGGUGAUGAAGUUCAUCCUGGACAAGAUCGACAAGGACGAGAAGCAGGCGGUCAAGAAGAGGAAGAAGGAGGAAGCAGGUGAGCAGAAGAGGACCAAGGCCAACGCCACCAAGCUGUCGUCGCUGCUCUGCCGGCACAAGGAGACACUCAAGGCCGAGAUCCUCAAGAAGAGAGCCCUGCUGGACAAGGAGCUGCAGCUGGAGACGCAGGAUGAGCUGAGGAGGGACCUCGCCAAGCUGCGGCGGGACAAGGAAAGGGCCCAGGCCGCUGCCCACCAGGCGGCCGCCGCCGCGCACAAGCAUCAUGCCCUCAUACACACCUCCCAACUCAACCCGGCGGCCUUCGUCCACAAGCGGAAGCGGGAGGAGGAGAGGGACGCGGCGUCGACGGCUAACGCCAAGAAGAAGAAGAUGAUCACCACCACUACCUCAGACAGCAAGAAGGAGACCAAGCUCUACUGUGUCUGCAGAACGCCCUACGACGAGUCCAAGUUCUACAUUGGCUGUGACCUGUGCACCAACUGGUACCACGGUGAGUGUGUGGGCGUCACCGAGAAGGACGCCAAGAAGAUGGACGACUACAUCUGCAGCGAGUGCAAGCGGGCCCAGGAGGGAAAGACAGAGGAGCUCUACUGCAUCUGCCGAACGCCCUACGACGAAGCACAGUUCUACAUCGGCUGCGACCGCUGCCAGAACUGGUACCACGGCCGUUGCGUGGGCAUCCUGCAGAGCGAGGCCAACCACAUCGACCAGUACGUGUGUCCGCAGUGCCAGUCCACAGAGGACGCCAUGACAGUGCUCACGCCGCUCACUGACAAGGAUAACGAGGGGUUAAGGAGAAUCCUGCGCUCCUUACAGGCUCACAAAAUGGCGUGGCCGUUCCUGGAGCCAGUGGACCCGAACGACGCCCCAGACUACUACGGAGUCAUUAAGGAACCAAUGGAUCUUUCUACGAUGGAGGAGCGGUUGCAGAAGCGCUACUACAUCAAGCUGACAGAGUUCGUGGCGGACAUGACCAAAGUCUUCGACAACUGCCGUUACUACAACCCCAGCGACUCGCCGUUCUACCAGAGCGCCGAGGUCCUUGAGAACUUCUUCGUUCAGAAGCUCAAAGGGUUCAAAGCCAGCAGAUUGUGAUGUCAUAAGUCUGGCCUUGUAGUUGGAAUCUGAGCUGGGUGCCGGGGUCACUCUAAAAAAAAAAAAAAACAUUAGGCUAUCCUGGACCUUGCUGUUUUUAUGUCUUUAAAAACAGCAUCAAACUAUUUGUAAGAAAGUAUAUUUACAGUAUAAACCACCGUAGGUGUGUUUUUUUGUAUUUUUUAGAAGGAAAGACACUUUAAAAACAUUUCUCCAUUUUGAUAAUGGCAGCCAUGUUGGUCACAAACAGCAAUCAAGGGAAACAUCUGUUUGUUUUUUUUACAUUCAUUUCAAAGACGACAGAUAUUCGAUGGAAGUUGAGUUCAUUUCUGUUUAUCUCAAUCUGGUGAUGUGUGAGGCACAAUAUCAAGUAUCGAAAAGGUUAGUUCACAACAUGGUUGUGAUUAGAUUUUGCUAAAAUGUUAAGUCAUUUCUCACAUGUAAUGUUGUAUUCAACUCAGUUCCACAUGUGCAGAUGACCUAUCAUUUAAUUGAAUGGAGUACAUUUAUUGUGUAGAUGAAGUGCAAAGAUUGUAUCUCCUCUUAGCUGGCCAUUUUUAAAAGAUUAACAACAUUUAUCAGUUAGUCUUUUAUCUGAAUUAUUAAUGUAUAAUGUUAUUGUUUUAUGUGCAUAUUAUAUCCUUUUGUGAAGGAGUAUUGUAUGUUCAAAAAGAAAAAUAAUGGUAAGAUAUAGGUCAUAGUUUUUUGUGUAGCUUUGCAGUUCAUUUCUGGUGAACUCGACUGUCCCAUGUUUUACAUGGUAUGUUUUCACUGUAUAUACAAGCCAUAUAGAACAUUAAACGAACAUUACACCAACAUGGCUGCUCUCUCUGCUCAAACGUCUGACCCCACUGGCAUCCAAUAACUGUUUUUGUAUUCCCUCGUGCAUAUUUUGUGAUUUGUCAAGCUUUUAAUAAUAAAAAAAACACGUCAAUCGA